rnacentral:rRNA from 1 species
AUUGAACGCUGCCGGCAGGCCUAACACAUGCAAGUCGAGCGGAUGAAGGGAGCUUGCUCCUGGAUUCAGCGGCGGACGGGCGAGUAAUGCCUAGGAAUCUGCCUGGUAGUGGGGGAUAACGUCCGGAAACGGGCGCUAAUACCGCAUACGUCCUGAGGGAGAAAGUGGGGGAUCUUCGGACCUCACGCUAUCAGAUGAGCCUAGGUCGGAUUAGCUAGUUGGUGGGGUAAAGGCCUACCAAGGCGACGAUCCGUAACUGGUCUGAGAGGAUGAUCAGUCACACUGGAACUGAGACACGGUCCAGACUCCUACGGGAGGCAGCAGUGGGGAAUAUUGGACAAUGGGCGAAAGCCUGAUCCAGCCAUGCCGCGUGUGUGAAGAAGGUCUUCGGAUUGUAAAGCACUUUAAGUUGGGAGGAAGGGCAGUAAGUUAAUACCUUGCUGUUUUGACGUUACCAACAGAAUAAGCACCGGCUAACUUCGUG